rnacentral:rRNA from 1 species
CACGUAGGGGGCGAGCGUUGUCCGGAUUUAUUGGGCGUAAAGAGCUCGUAGGCGGCUCAGUAAGUCAGGUGUGAAACCCCCGGGCUCAACCCGGGGACGCCACCUGAUACUGCUGUGGCUAGAGUCCGGUAGGGGAGCGUGGAAUUCCUGGUGUAGCGGUGAAAUGCGCAGAUAUCAGGAGGAACACCAGCGGCGAAGGCGGCGCUCUGGGCCGGUACUGACGCUGAGGAGCGAAAGCGUGGGGAGCGAACAGG